CCGUGCCGAUGGAGGCCGCGGGUGCGGCCUCAACCAUCCGCAUCCAGGGGGAAAAGGGAGGAGAGUGGACGAGCGGCCGCCGCUUAGACCUUCCUCCGUCCGGAAUCGAGUCCGCUGAUCCGCGGCCGAUCUCAUUUAAGAGAGUGUGUUCGAGGCUUCCAAUUGUUGAAUCGAUGGAGGCUGGCGUUGCGUUCUUCCAUCAGUUCUUCUUUCUUUGUAGUUCACGAUUGAUCAAUUCUUCGUGAGAUUCGUGUGAGCGCAUAUACAUACAGGAGAAAAGCAAUUCAUUGUUAGAUUAUUAAUUGAUGAUUGCAAGAAGACAAAAUCAAUCAAUCAAUCUCCUGAUUAGUUUCUUUCCUUUUUGUACGAGGAACAUCUCGUCUUCGCCGUGAAUCGCGUGGUGGCCGAAACUCUAGUAGCCAACUUCUCCAGACUUCUCCAGUGAUCGUCUGCGGCAAUUGCAGAUCGCUGGAGUGGCCUCCUCUGGCCAUAGAGAGGCCUUGCCGUUUGCCGCUGCUGUCGUCGGCAGUCAUGUGGCGGAUUGAAGCGCCGGAGGGCGCCGCUUCGACGCGCCUACAGAGGAGGGCGUCGUCAACCAUGGGGUGCCUCAGCCGCCUGCAUCGCGCGCUGGUGCUGCGCCGCUGGAGCGCUGUCGAGGCCGAGGGUCCUUGUGUCCUUGGGGCCGGAGGGAGUCGCCGCCACAGCCGUGUAUCAGGCCGAUGGUCAGGGACGGUAGUGCCGUCGAGUGCUUGGCCUAAUUGCUCUCUGGAAGAGGCGUGCGUGAUCUCUACUCCUAAUGGAGCAGUGGGUAGUCUCGCUUCCAGGUUUUUUUUCGUCCCACCUUCCAUGGCUUUUUUGGUA